GGAGUUUGGUCCGUUUCUCAAUUCCAAUGUGGCUGAUUGUCCUCUCAAACCAGCUAGAGAUCAUCGGUUUGGUGAGCCGUUACCUCCCCCAACUGCCUAAUCCCAUCUGGGCGCAUCUGCUCGCGUGCGGCCUUGCGGUCCCGUACUUUCCCCUCUCGGGCUUACGCGGUAUUAUCGGAACUUUCGCUCCGCUAUCCCCCUCAAGCAGGCAGCUUCCCAGACAUUACUCACCCGUCCGCCACUCAGUCAUCCCGAUCUUCAAUCCGAAGAAAUCAGAUCAGGCGCUUCGCUCGACUUGCAUGUGUUAAGCACGCCGCCAGCGUUCAUC
rnacentral:rRNA from 1 species